rnacentral:rRNA from 1 species
UACGGGGGGGGCAAGCGUUGUUCGGAAUUACUGGGCGUAAAGGGCUCGUAGGCGGCCAACUAAGUCGGAUGUGAAAUCCCCAAGCUUAACUUGGGAACUGCAUCCGAUACUGGAUGGCUUGAAUCCGGGAGAGGGAUGCAGAAUUCCAGGUGUAGCGGUGAAAUGCGUAGAUAUCAGGAGGAACACCGGUGGCGAAGGCGGUUCUCUGGGCAUGAUCUGACGCUGAGGAGCGAAAGUGUGGGGAGCGAACAGG